rnacentral:lncRNA from 1 species
CAAUAUUCAUGAUUUGGUUUUCACUUUGAGGACUGGUUCUUUGGUUGAAAUCUGUUUGGCUGGAAAUUUUGAGACACUGAUUGGGUUUGUUCGUUAUGAGGUUCUCAGGUCGAGUAUUUUGGUCUUCAGAUUUCUUUAUUAUCGACAAGGAUCAGUUUUAUCGAGGUCCAUUUCUUCUACCGAUCUUUAUUUUAUCUUGACUCUUUAUUGAUGUUGUGGGUGUGAAUGAUUUAUUUGUUGUGUGAAUCUUCGUUGUUUGUGUUGUGUUUGAUUUUGGUUUCGGAUUAUGAGAUGUGAUUGGAAAAUCGAAGCAUACACUAAUCAUGUGGUUAAAAAUGGACUUGGGGGGUGAGAAUUAACAUUUGAUAUAAUUGGAUAUUUGGAUUAGUUGAUUUCAUUGUGUGUUUAACUUGAAACGAGCGCUAAUUGAACUUGGUAGUAUCGUGAUAUGCCGAUUGGUUUAGGCAAAGGUAGGUUGGGUAGGCAAGAUGUAGGAUUUGUGAUUGUUGAAUGGUGAAAUGUUGGUGGAAUGGUUUUGAUUUAUACAUUGACAUCUAUUGUAUUAAUUCGGCUGGGGAAUGCCCCGAAGUAUCUGUAUAUAUUUAUUCACCGAGGAAUGCCCCGAAGUACCUUGUACUUGGAAGAUGUUCGUGGUAAAGUCCCGAGG